GAUCAUGGCUCAGGAUGAACGCUAGCGGCAGGCUUAACACAUGCAAGUCGAGGGGUAUAGUUCUUCGGAACUAGAGACCGGCGCACGGGUGCGUAACGCGUAUGCAAUCUACCUUUUACAGGGGAAUAGCCCAGAGAAAUUUGGAUUAAUGCCCCAUAGUAUAGUUUCUUCGCAUGAAGAGAUUAUUAAAGUUCCAACGGUAAAAGAUGAGCAUGCGUCCCAUUAGCUAGAUGGUAAGGUAACGGCUUACCAUGGCGACGAUGGGUAGGGGUCCUGAGAGGGAGAUCCCCCACACUGGUACUGAGACACGGACCAGACUCCUACGGGAGGCAGCAGUGAGGAAUAUUGGUCAAUGGGUGCAAGCCUGAACCAGCCAUCCCGCGUGAAGGACGACUGCCCUAUGGGUUGUAAACUUCUUUUGUAUAGGGAUAAACCUUUCCACGUGUGGAAAGCUGAAGGUACUAUACGAAUAAGCACCGGCUAACUCCGUG
rnacentral:rRNA from 1 species